rnacentral:rRNA from 1 species
CCUACGGGUGGCAGCAGUGGGGAAUAUUGGACAAUGGGGGCAACCCUGAUCCAGCCAUGCCGCGUGUGUGAAGAAGGCCCUCGGGUUGUAAAGCACUUUCAGUGAGGAAGAACGCCUGGUGGUUAAUACCCAUCAGGAAAGACAUCACUCACAGAAGAAGCACCGGCUAACUCCGUGCCAGCAGCCGCGGUAAUACGGAGGGUGCGAGCGUUAAUCGGAAUUACUGGGCGUAAAGCGCGCGUAGGUGGCUUGAUAAGCCGGUUGUGAAAGCCCCGGGCUCAACCUGGGAACGGCAUCCGGAACUGUCAAGCUAGAGUGCAGGAGAGGAAGGUAGAAUUCCCGGUGUAGCGGUGAAAUGCGUAGAGAUCGGGAGGAAUACCAGUGGCGAGGGCGGCCUUCUGGACUGACACUGACACUGAGGUGCGAAAGCGUGGGUAGCAAACAGGAUUAGAUACCCCAGUAGUC